AUUGAACGCUGGCGGAAUGCUUUACACAUGCAAGUCGAGCGGCAGCACGGGGGCAACCCUGGUGGCGAGCGGCGGACGGGUGAGUAAUACAUCGGAACAUGCCCAGUCGUGGGGGAUAACACUUCGAAAGAAGUGCUAAUACCGCAUACGUCCUGAGGGAGAAAGCGGGGGAUCUUCGGACCUCGCGCGAUUGGAGUGGCCGAUGUCAGAUUAGCUAGUUGGUGGGGUAAAGGCCUACCAAGGCAACGAUCUGUAGCUGGUCUGAGAGGAUGAUCAGCCACACUGGGACUGGGACACGGCCCAGACUCCUACGGGAGGCAGCAGUGGGGAAUUUUGGACAAUGGGGGCAACCCUGAUCCAGCCAUUCCGCGUGAGUGAAGAAGGCCUUCGGGUUGUAAAGCUCUUUCGGCAGGAACGAAACGGUGAGCUCUAACAUAGCUUGCUAAUGACGGUACCUGAAGAAGAAGCACCGGCUAACUACGUGCCAGCCGCCGCAGUAACAC
rnacentral:rRNA from 1 species